UUCCGGUUGAUCCCGCCGGACCUGACUGCUAUCGGAUUGAUACUAAGCCAUGCGAGUCUUUGCAGUAAUGCAAGGCAUACGGCUCAGUAACACGUAGUCAACUUACCCUAUGGACGAGGAUAAUCUCGGGAAACUGAGCAUAAUACUCGAUAGAUCAUAAUGCCUGGAAUGGUUUAUGGUUGAAAUGAUUCGUCGCCAUAGGAUGGGACUGCGGCCUAUCAGCUUGUUGGUGAGGUAAUGGCCCACCAAGGCGAUUACAGGUACGGGCUCUGAGAGGAGAAGCCCGGAGAUGGGUACUGAGACAAGGACCCAGGCCCUAUGGGGCGCAGCAGGCGAGAAAACUUUGCAAUGUGCGAAAGCACGACAAGGUUAAUCCGAGUGAUUUCUGCUAAAGGAAUCUUUUGCAAGUCAUAAAACCACUAGUGAAUAAGGGGUGGGCAAGUUCUGGUGUCAGCCGCCGCGGUAAAACCAGCACCUCAAGUGGUCAGGAGGAUUAUUGGGCCUAAAGCAUCCGUAGCCGGCUCUGUAAGUUUUCGGUUAAAUCCAUGUGCUCAACGCAUGGGCUGCCGAAAAUACUGCAUAGCUAGGGAGUGGGAGAGGUAGACGGUACUCAGUAGGAAGGGGUAAAAUCCUUUGAUCUAUUGAUGACCACCUGUGGCGAAGGCGGUCUACCAGAACACGUUCGACGGUGAGGGAUGAAAGCUGGGGGAGCAAACCGGAUUAGAUACCCGGGUAGUCCCAGCUGUAAACGAUGCAGACUCGAUGAUGCAUUGGCAUAUAGCCAGUGCAGUGUCGCAGGGAAGCCGUUAAGUCUGCCGCCUGGGAAGUACGUACGCAAGUAUGAAACUUAAAGGAAUUGGCGGGGGAGCACCACAAGGGGUGAAGCCUGCGGUUCAAUUGGAAUCAACGCCGGA
rnacentral:rRNA from 1 species